rnacentral:SRP_RNA from 1 species
GCUGGACACAGUGGCGCAUGCCUGUAGUCCCAGCUACUUUACUUGGGGGGCUAAGAUGGGAGCAUCAUUUGAGUGCAGGAGUUCUAGGCUGUAGUGCAUUUUGCUGAUUUGGUGUCUGCACUAAGUUUGGCAUCAAUGUGGUGACCUCCCAGGAGCAGGGAACUACCAGGUUACCUAAGGAGGGGUGAACCAGCCCAUCUCAGAAACGGAGCAGGUCAAAACUCCCGUGCUGAUCAGUAGUGGGAGCGCGCCUGUGAAUAGACACUGCACUCCAGCCUGGGCAACAAAGCAAGACCCCAUCUUU